AUUGAACGCUGGCGGAAUGCUUUACACAUGCAAGUCGAACGGUAGAGGGGGCAACCCCUCGAGAGUGGCGAACGGGUGAGUAAUAUAUCGGAACGUGCCCAGUCGUGGGGGAUAACGUAGCGAAAGUUACGCUAAUACCGCAUACGAUCUAAGGAUGAAAGCGGGGGAUCGCAAGACCUCGCGCGAUUGGAGCGGCCGAUAUCAGAUUAGGUAGUUGGUGGGGUAAAGGCUCACCAAGCCAACGAUCUGUACCUGGUCUGAGAGGACGACCAGCCACACUGGAACGGAGACACGGUCCAGACUCCUACGGGAGGCAGCAGUGGGGAAUGUUGGACAAUGGACGCAAGUCUGAUCCAGCCAUUCCGCGUGCAGGAUGAAGACCAUCGGGUUGUAAACUGCUUUUGUACGGAACGAAAAGGUCUCUCUUAAUACGGGGGGCUCAUGACGGUACCGUAAGAAUAAGCACCGGCUAACUACGUGCCAGCCGCCGCCGUAA
rnacentral:rRNA from 1 species